rnacentral:rRNA from 1 species
UACAGAGGUCCCGAGCGUUGUUCGGAUUCACUGGGCGUAAAGGGUGCGUAGGUGGUGAGGUAAGUCGGAUGUGAAAUCUCCGGGCUCAACCCGGAAAUGGCAUUGGAAACUACCUUGCUGGAGGAUUUGAGGGGGGAUUGGAAUACUUGGUGUAGCAGUGAAAUGCGUAGAUAUCAAGUGGAACACCAGUGGCGAAGGCGAAUCCCUGGAAAAUACCUGACACUGAGGCACGAAGGCCAGGGGAGCAAACGGG